rnacentral:lncRNA from 1 species
UCAGUUCAUAUGGGAUGGGACCUCCUGAACCCUUUUAGACAGGGCCGGCGCCACCUGCUGUGACAACUCUUGAGACGACUAGAAAACCAGAUAGAAAGAGACAGCAUGGAUGAAUAAGUCACAGCUGGCCAUGCUCCUGCAUCAGCUCUACUCCUUUUCUGCCUAGUGAAUCUGGACAAGAAAAUUAAAGCCUUCAGUUGGAAUGAUGUCAGCCCUACUUGGGAGUAGGGAGAAGAAGGCAGCUCCAGUGAGCCCUUGUAGCAGAAGAAUGUCAAGAUAGUGUUCUGCCCAGCACCAGAGUGGAAUAUGUCAGACCACUCGCAGCACUGCUGUUUGAUCUUAUCGGGCUGCUGCGGAGGUGAAGCUUAAAUGCCUGGAGAGAAUUAAACAAGCCUUAUUGACUUCCCACAGAGAAGCCUGUUCAGCUAGGUACCAUGAGGUUGAGAGAUUAACACUGCAGAAUGGAAACAAAGAACAUUGAUGAAGCACUUGGGUGAACUCGGGUAAGACAUUUUCUCCAAUCAAGUUAUCAAAGCCGAAUUCCUGUUAGUCCUUUUGGAACUCUUUUUGCUUAUGAAGCAGAUAUGGAUUGGAGGGCACACUGGUCCCUAUUGUUGUUCUGCAGGCUUGCUUGUGUUAGGUCAGCAUAUUAGUUCCCCUACCUCUGUAAAGACUGAGAACCACAUUUGGAAUCAGGACAGGAAGUACACCCCCUCCUUAAACCCUUUACUUUCUGGAGAAGUCACGGGUGGUGAAGAUGUUUCCUGCCAUUCUUUACAGAAGCAAGAGUCGCUUUAGGGUUGUUUCAUUAUCAGUGGAGUAGUUGUCCCGUGGACCUCUGCCCUUGAAGAGUGAAAGAGCAGUCAAGACAGAGCCCACUAGCCUCACGUCGUCACAGUUGCAAGCAAGCAAACCUGUCAUCUUCCUGUAUUAUCUACAAAUGGUGUUUGUUUCCUUUGACGUAUAUUCUAACACUUGGGGCAGGAGGGAUUUCUCGAAAAAACAAUAUUGUUGAGUAUACCAAUUCCCUGCCCCCAGCCAUCCUUUCUGUUUCCUUUUCAAGGCUCCAGGAAUUGCUAAAUGGCAUAUCCUGGACAACCAACACUCUUCAGCUAAAAAUACCAGAGGGUGAGCUUAUCUCGAGCAAUGCUUCCUCUCCAGGGGGUUCAUAGACAUUAUCUCAUUUAUUCUUAAAAACACCCUGUGAGGUAGGGCAUGGCCAAAGAACUGGAUCCCAGAAAGGUAAGGAAGCUUUAAGACAAAAGGUCACUGGCAGAGGUUCGAUUCUGAAGCCCGGCAGAACAGCUCAGAUGUGUAACUUUCAAGCUGUAAAAUCUACUCACCAGGCAUCAAUAACUUGACUGCAGGAGCCCAGAGACCCCCUUAUUAAAUAGAUAUAGAUAUAGGAGAUAGAGAUAGAUAGAGAUAGAGAUAGAGAUAGAGAUAGAGAUAGAGAUAGAGAUAGAGAUAGAGAUAGAGAUAGAGAUAGAGAUAGAGAUAUAUGACUCCUGGCAUACAGGAAAAGACAGAGCUUAGCGGAAAUUGGAUCCCCAAAGCUACUUCUUCAGGGUAAUGAUGAUUUCUUUGUUAUCUAUAACAAACUGGAGAAGAACAUUGAUCAUCUUUUCAAAUUGUCCCAUUGCCCUCCUAACCUCAUCUGCUAACAUGGCUUCAUGUCCCACCUACACAAACUGGAACAACUGGCUUAGUUGUCUCAGAGAAACAAGAUAUAUAUAUAUAUAUAUAUCCCUUCUAGAAGUCAGACAUGACUUGCUUAUACAUACUUCAAAAACAGAUUCCAUAAUCAACAAAAUACAUUGUUCUGACAUUCUAUAUAUUGUCUUAUAUUCCUUUCCUCAAGACUUGGUCCCAUGCCCAAACCCGAGAGUCAUGGCAGCUUCUAGGUCCUCUUAGGAGCAUACGCAAAUCCUGUUACUGACAUAUCUCCUCUAUGCCCCUCAUGACUAAUUUUUUUCCCACCCAUACUCAUGCCCAAGGAGAAUGAGCUUGGGAGCAUGAACUACCGAGCUCCCUCCUCUCUGCCUGCUAGCUGAUUUAGCAGGAGGUUAAGGGGAGACAAGAGUAUGUUGUUAGUUUUACCUUAUUUCUUCCCUGUAGGGUGACUAUGACUGAGUCCUGCCCACAAGGCCAGCUCCUCCUUCAAACACUGCUCUUUGUCUGGGUUUUUAGUAAGCAUCACUUCCUGAUGGCCACCAGCCUGGAAGUUUUAAAGGAUCCUCCUGCUAAUGUUCCCAAUUCUUUUGUCGUCCCUAUUAUAUGUAUUAAAGCCACAACACAUUCUGUAAAUAGUUCCUUCAUAAACUUGUUACAGCUCCUAGAUAGAAUGGAUUCCAUUGGUCCUAGUUUGUUUUUUUUUUGAUCUUGUAAUAAAACCAUGAUCAAAU